rnacentral:misc_RNA from 1 species
GGAAGUAAAAGUCGUAAUAAGGUCUCCGUAGGUGAACCUGCGGAGGGAUCAUUACAGAGUUCUCGCCCUCGCGGGUAGAUCUCCCACCCACUGUUAUCGUUACUGUGUUGCUUUGGCGGGCCGCCGGGCCCCGCUCGGCCGCCGGCUCCGGCUGGCGCGCGCCCGCCAGAGGCCCAGCAAACUCUGAAUGUUAGUGUCGUCUGAGUACUAUAUAAUAGUUAAAACUUUCAACAGCGGAUCUCUUGGUUCUG